UAGGGAAUCUUCCACAAUGGACGCAAGUCUGAUGGAGCAACGCCGCGUGAGUGAAGAAGGUCUUCGGAUCGUAAAGCUCUGUUGUUGGUGAAGAAGGAUAGAGGCAGUAACUGGUCUUUAUUUGACGGUAAUCAACCAGAAAGUCACGGCUAACUACGUGCCAGCAGCCGCGGUAAUACGUAGGUGGCAAGCGUUGUCCGGAUUUAUUGGGCGUAAAGCGAGCGCAGGCGGAAUGAUAAGUCUGAUGUGAAAGCCCACGGCUCAACCGUGGAACUGCAUCGGAAACUGUCAUUCUUGAGUGCAGAAGAGGAGAGUGGAACUCCAUGUGUAGCGGUGGAAUGCGUAGAUAUAUGGAAGAACACCAGUGGCGAAGGCGGCUCUCUGGUCUGCAACUGACGCUGAGGCUCGAAAGCAUGGGUAGCGAACAGGAUUAGAUACCCUGGUAGUCCAUGCCGUAAACGAUGAGCGCUAGGUGUUGGGGACUUUCCGGUCCUCAGUGGCCGCAGCAAACGCAUUAAGCGCUCCGCCUGGGGAGUAC
rnacentral:rRNA from 1 species